rnacentral:lncRNA from 1 species
CUUAGGUGAGCAUAGGAGAGCGAAAGGAGUGAGAAAAGGGGCAAAAACAGAGAAAAUGGGCCAACGUACGAAAUCAACACGGCCUGGACUUCCUCACACGGGCAGACGACACGGUCAUGUCAAUUUGGUAGAAUUGAAGCACUUUUCACACUGGUAGAACACACGCCCGUAUCAUUCUAACAGGUUCGAGCACGGCUUGAAGUAGUCGCACACGGGCGUGUCACAUGGGCGUGUCCUUGCUGAGCCCAAGUU